rnacentral:rRNA from 1 species
CCUACGGGUGGCAGCAGUGGGGAAUAUUGCGCAAUGGGCGAAAGCCUGACGCAGCGACGCCGCGUGAGGGAUGAAGGUCUUCUGAUCGUAAACCUCUGUCAGCAGGGAAGAACGGUCACUGUGCUAAUCAGCAUUGAAUUGACGGUACCUGCAAAGGAAGCACCGGCUAACUCCGUGCCAGCAGCCGCGGUAAUACGGAGGGUGGGAGCGUUAAUCGGAAUUACUGGGCGUAAAGCGCUCGUAGGCGGUAUGUCAAGUCAAGGGUGAAAUCCCCGCGCUCAACGUGGGAACUGCCUUUGAAACUGGUAGACUGGAGUGUGGGAGAGGAUAGUGGAAUUCCAGGUGUAGGAGUGAAAGCCGUAGAUAUCUGGAGGAACAUCAGUGGCGAAGGCGACUAUCUGGAACAUAACUGACGCUGAGGAGCGAAAGCGUGGGUAGCAAACAGGAUUAGAUUCCCGAGUAGUC